AGGCAUAAUUCAACUCACACGUCUACAGGUACAUAUGUGUGUGUUCGGUUAUGUACUUUG
rnacentral:pre_miRNA from 1 species